GGUCCCGCCUGCCCUGUGACUUAAGUUUAACGGCCGCGGUAUUUUAACCGUGCGAAGGUAGCGUAAUCACUUGUCUUUUAAAUGAAGACCUGUAUGAAUGGCAUCACGAGGGCUUAGCUGUCUCCCAUCUCCAGUCAAUGAAAUUGACCUCCCCGUGCAGAGGCGGGGAUGAUUACAUAAGACGAGAAGACCCUAUGGAGCUUUAGACCUAAAGUAAGUCACGUUUAACAUGCUGUGAUAACAGUGAAAACUUAGUGAUAUUUACUGAAGUGUCUUUGGUUGGGGCGACCGCGGGGUAAAACACAACCCCCAUGUGGACCGGGGAUAUUAUCCCUAAUACUCAGAGCCUCUACUCCAAGUAACAGAAUUUCUGACUUUUCUGAUCCGGUAUAACCGAUCAACGAACCGAGUUACCCUAGGGAUAACAGCGCAAUCCCCUCUCAGAGCCCAUAUCGACGAGGGGGUUUACGACCUCGAUGUUGGAUCAGGACAUCCUAAUGGUGCAGCCGCUAUUAAGGGUUCGUUUGUUCAACGAUUAAAGUCCUACGUGAUC
rnacentral:rRNA from 1 species